CGUGAGCUGGGUUUAGACCG
rnacentral:ncRNA from 2 species